UACGAAGGGGGCUAGCGUUGCUCGGAAUGACUGGGCGUAAAGGGCGCGUAGGCGGAUGGCACAGUCAGAUGUGAAAUUCCCGGGCUUAACCUGGGGGCUGCAUUUGAUACGUGUGAUCUAGAGUGAGGAAGAGGGUCGUGGAAUUCCCAGUGUAGAGGUGAAAUUCGUAGAUAUUGGGGAGAACACCGGUGGCGAAGGCGGCGACCUGGUCCUUGACUGACGCUGAGGCGCGAAAGCGUGGGGAGCAAACAGG
rnacentral:rRNA from 1 species